rnacentral:tRNA from 1 species
GGAGCCAUCGUCUAGUGGUUAGGACUCCGGAUUUUCAUUCCGGCAACAGGGGUUCGAUUCCCCUUGGCUCUGCCA